rnacentral:rRNA from 1 species
GAGUUGAUCGUGGCUCAGGACGAACGCUGGCGGCGUGCCUAACACAUGCAAGUUGAGCGGAGAUAUGGAGAGCUUGCUCUUAUAUUUAGCAGCGAACGGGUGAGUAACACGUAGAUAAUUUGUCCUAUAUUGGGGGAGUAGCCGAUGAAAUUAGGAUUAAUACCGCAUACAGCUAUUUAACCGCAUGGGGAGGAUAGUGAAGGGGAAACGUUGAUAUAGGAGGAGUCUGCGGCACAUUAGCUAGUAGGUGA